AACGUACGCUGGCGGCACGCCUAACACAUGCAAGUCGAACGAAGUAGCAAUACUUAGUGGCAGACGGGUGAGUAACAUGUAGGUAUCUGCCCUUUUGGCCUGGAAUAACACGAGGAAACUUGUGCUAAUACCGGAUAAGUCUUUACGGAGAAAGCUUUAUGCACCAUUGGAUGAGCCUGCACUUGAUUAGUUUGUUGGUGGGGUAAUGGCCUACCAAGACUGUGAUCAAUAGCUGAUUUGAGAGGAUGAUCAGCCACAUUGGGACUGAGACACGGCCCAAACUCCUACGGGAGGCAGCAGUGGGGAAUCUUGCACAAUGGAGGAAACUCUGAUGCAGCGAUGCCGCGUGAGUGAAGAAGGCCCUUGGGUUGUAAAGCUCUUUCGUCGGGGAAGAAAAUGACUGUACCCGAAUAAGAAGGUCCGGCUAACUUCGUGCCAGCAGCCGCGGUAAUACGAAGGGACCUAGCGUAGUUCGGAAUUACUGGGCUUAAAGAGUUCGUAGGUGGUUGAAAAAGUUAGUGGUGAAAUCCCAGAGCUUAACUCUGGAACUGCCAUUAAAACUUUUCAGCUAGAGUAUGAUAGAGGAAAGCAGAAUUUCUAGUGUAGAGGUGAAAUUCGUAGAUAUUAGAAAGAAUACCAAUUGCGAAGGCAGCUUUCUGGAUCAUUACUGACACUGAGGAACGAAAGCAUGGGUAGCGAAGAGGAUUAGAUACCCUCGUAGUCCAUGCCGUAAACGAUGUGUGUUAGACGUUGGAAAUUUAUUUUCAGUGUCGCAGGGAAACCGAUAAACACACCGCCUGGGGAGUACGACCGCAAGGUUAAAACUCAAAUGAAUUGACGGGGACCCGCACAAGUAGUGGAGCAUGUGGUUUAAUUCGAAGAUACGCGCAGAACCUUACCAACACUUGACAUGUUCGUCGCGACUCUAAGAGAUUAGAGUUUUCGGUUCGGCCGGACGAAACACAGGUGCUGCAUGGCUGUCGUCAGCUCGUGUCGUGAGAUGUUGGGUUAAGUCCCGCAACGAGCGCAACCCUCACUUUUAGUUGCCAUCAUUAAGUUGGGCACUCUGAAAGAACUGCCAGUGAUAAGCUGGAGGAAGGUGGGGAUGACGUCAAGUCCUCAUGGCCCUUACGUGUUGGGCUACACACGUGCUACAAUGGUAUCUACAACAGGAAGCAAAACUGCGAAGUUAAGCAAAUCCCCAAAAGAUACCUCAGUUCGGAUUGCACUCUGCAACUCGAGUGCAUGAAGCUGGAAUUACUAGUAAUCGUGGAUCAGCGUGCCACGGUGAAUGCGUUCCCGGGUCU
rnacentral:rRNA from 1 species